rnacentral:lncRNA from 1 species
GUGAAUUUGAUAGAAUUCAGAAUCGAGACUAUCGAACAAUUUUGGUGAUAAAUAUAGAUAGGAGAAUUCAAAUGAACUACUUGUAUAUAUUGAUAAUCAAGAUCAUAGCAAUGCAAGUUUUAGACAAAUGAUCAGUUCAUACAAAUUGUAUGUAAGACCUUAUGCUAAGUUCACGUGCAUAUUUUUUUAUUUCGAUUGUAUAUAAUUAUUAUCUAAAACAACAACACAUCCCCGUAGUAAGUCGAGUAAAACAUUGUCCACCAUUUCGAAAUCCAAGGUUACGGCAGUCCUUAUCACAAUCUGUUUCUGGAUUGCAAGGCUUCACGCAUGUUCCUCCAGGAGGAACCGACAGACUAGUAACAAGUCCUAAACAAACCAAAAUAAAAAAUUAUCACAUCAUGUUCCUUUUAAAAUUUUCAAUUCAAUGUUAUUUGGACUUAUACACUAAAACAUUUAGUAGAAGGUAUCAUCUAAACAAAUUAUUAUUGUUUUUCGGAUUUUGCAUUAUUUUUAUAAAAAAUAUACUAUACUUUAUGUACAACUUUUUGAAAAGUGAUUGAGGAUUGCUGAUUUAAUAGUAAAAUUAGUAUAAUUUAUAAAAACAUUUUUACUAACUGUAGAUAGUAAAAAAAUUAAUUAGUUGAAAUAUAAUAAAUAAAAAUAUAUUAUUAAAAAAAGUAAUUAAUAUUAUGUUAAUAUUGUAAAAGAAUAAAUAACUUAAAAAAAUAACAAAUAAAAUACUUAUUGUGAAAUAGAUGAAGGAUCAACUAAAAAAUCCCUAUUAGAAUAGAGACAUAUAUCAACACUGAUAUAACAAUAAUAUCAAGUUUAAAUUGAAUUGCUAUGAAAAAAAUUAAUAUUACAUUUGCAAAUUGUAUGUAAAAAAAUUCAUUUCAUAUGAUAAAAUUAGCAUUAACCAUAUACCUGAACCCAAAACCAAAACGAUGCAUAGAACACCUAAAAGAUAGGAUUGAUUGAUGUGAAUAGCCAUUUCGUAUAAUUUUAUCUUAUAUUUAUUUGUU